UCUACUCCAUCUUUCAUCAUAUCUCCCAAUAUGAUGUACGAUUAAUAACCCAAGCAAAAAGAAAAAACAAUUUCUGCCUAGAUUGACACCCUACUUCUGCCAUUCAUAACAUCUUUCAUAUCAAAUUUCUUAUCAAUGCUGCCAAACCAUGGCUAUAAUCAUGCCUAUACUUUCAUGUCUAAUCAUUUUUAUGAAAGUAUGGUCCAUUUAACCAACUGUCAACAUUCAUAGUUUUAGUCAUUUCGCUUAUGCUUAGUGUUUAUUACAUACUUUUGAAGUUUUAAUCCACCAUGUAUUGUAACAUCCCAACAAGAAAUCACUGAAAAUUUUAUAACUCAGUCAACAUUAACAACAAGUAUCAAGAACAUGGAUAACCAUCAACAUGAAAAGCAUAUUGAUCCAGCACAAGCAAGGAUGAACAGAAAAUGUAUCAGGCAACACAAAGUUGAUGAUCAGCCUCACCACAUUGUGCAUGCACAUGUCAGUGUGUGUUCAUAAUAUACAAAAAAUCAUUGUAAGCAAUUUAAAAUAUUAUCUUCCAAAUUACAAUUAACAUUUGUAAUUAGUUUAUUAAUUUAAUACAAUGUCCACAUUUUUUUGUUACACAAAGGCAACCAAGCUGUAAGUUGCAUUCAACAUUAUGGUCAGAGGAUGAGGCUUCUGAUUCAUCAAAAUAGAUUCCACUUAACUUAGAUUUAAUUCACUUUUUUAGCUAAUGUUUCUGAUUCAUCAGAGGAUGAGGCUUCUGAUCAACACAAGGGUAUGCUUCAAUUUCUUUAGUUGAAAAUCAAAAUUGUGUCCUCAGCUAAUGAGCCUGCAAUUAACAGAGAAGGGUACUCUGAUCUUGGUGACCAACUCAUGCAAUGUAGCCACUGUAAUGCAAAUAUGUGGUAUGAUGAAAGAAUCUCAAAACGUGUAAGUACUACAAACCCAACAUUCAACUUAUGUUGUGGAGGUGGCAAAGUUGAACUUCCAUUGUUACAAAAUCCACCUAAAUAUCUCCACCAACUUUUGUAUGAUCAUGAUACAUCUGAUAGUAAAAAUUACCAACAAAACAUAAGGACAUAUAACAUUAUGUUUACCUUUACUUCUACUAGUAUUAAGUUCGACAAAUCAAUUAAUCAUUCAAGAGGACCUCCUACAAUAAGAAUUCAAGGUCAACCAUGUCAUAGAAUAGGAAGCAUGUUACCAAUGCCUGGGAAAGAACCUCAAUUUGCACAAUUGUAUAUCUUUGACACAGAAAAUGAAGUGCAGAAUAGGAUUAAUGCAGUAAGGUAGUUACUCUUUCAUUCUUAUUAUUAUGAAUGCACAACAUCCAUAAAGAAUGUUAGAUUUAAACAUAUUUCAAUUCUUUAUUCUGCAUUGCUAAGCUUGCAAUCAUCAUAUAUAUAAUUGUCUACUUUUGUCAACAGUCCACAUAAUCAAAUUCAAGCACACAUUGUUUCACAACUUAGUGAGAAGCUAGAUGAAUACAACGUGCAAGCAAAAAGUUUCAGGAUGGCAUAAUGUCAGGUUGAAAUUGAUUGCUAACCGUGAAAAAGAUGGUCGUACAUAUAAUGUACCUACUGUUCCAGAAGUUGCAGCACUAAUUGUAGGCAAUUUUGAUGCAAAUUCAAAGAGAUAUUAUUAUUGAAACCCAGCAUGGACAAUUACAAAGGAUCCAUGAAUUACAUUCUAGUUAUCUAGCUCUACAAUACCCUCUCCUAUUUCCUUACAGGGAAGAUGGAUAUAGACCUGAUAUCCUACAUAGUAGUACACCAGGUAGCAAGAAAAGGAAGAGAAAUCGUCUUACAAUGAGGGAGUGAUUUGCUUACAGGCUAUAAUGCAGAUCAAAUGAAUCAAAAACUUUGUUGUAUUCUAGGAGACUAUUCCAACAAUUUGUUGUUGAGGGGUAUACUAUGGUUGAAUCAGAAAGGCUUUCUUACAUCAGAAACAACAAAAAAAAACUUCGAGUUGACAAGUUUUGCAGCUUACAACACUCUUUGGAUGAUGGAAGCACAAAAGGCCUAAAUAAAGCCAUGUGGGCUUCCCAAAUCUGUUUAUUACUUUAAUCUACAAUCCAAAUUGGCCUGAAAUCCAUAGAUUGUUGAAUCCCUUGAAUCUGAAAGCAACAGAUAGACCAGACAUAAUCUCCAGAGUCUUCAAACUAAAGUAUGAACAAAUGUUGAUGGACCUAACAAAGAAUCAGAUGCUAGGGAAAGUUAUUGCAUAUACAUAUGUCCCUGCGAAUCUACUUGGAGAAUCUUUGGGUUUCCAAUACAUGGCAAAAAACCUGUUGUUGAAAGAUUACAGUUCCAUCUUCCAGGCCAACAUAAUGUUGUCUAUGAAGACCAUGAUGAUAUUGAUGAUGUGCUGUCUAAAACAAAUAUCUCAGAUUCAAAGUUUAUUUCAUGGAUGAACAUCAACCAAAAUUUUGUUGAAGGAAGAAGUCUUACUUAUGUAGAAUUUGUUUCUAAGUUUGUAUAUAGUAAGAAGAAAAGAUGUUGGCAGCUUAGGAAGAAAGGCUACACCAUUGGCAGGUUACUAUGGGUCCCACCAAUUACAGGCGAAUUAUUUUACUUCAUUUGAGGAUUUAAGAGCAAUUGGUAAUGUUCAAUACCCUACAUAUAGAGAAGCAUGUUUUGCUAUGGGUCUUUUGCAAGAUGAUAAAGAAUUCAUUGAGGCAAUCAAAGAAGCAAAAGACUAGGGCUCAGCACAUUAUAUAAGGAAGCUAUUUGUGUUGUUACUUUUAACUGCAACAAUGAACAAACCUGAACAAGUUUGCGACCAAACUUGGCAUUGGAUGGUUGAUGACAUUGUCUAUAAUUAUAAAAAAUCAUCAACAAGUCCAGCAUUACAGCUUGAUGAUAGGACUCUUCAAAAUCUGGUCUUGCUUGAAAUUGAACAACUAUUGCAAGCAAAUCAAAGAUCGCUUACAGACUAUCCUUCAAUGCCAUAUCCAGAAGAUGCGAAUUGCCCAACCUAUCUGUAGAAGCAAAGCUUCAUGGUGAAUGUGAUUCAAAGGUGUUUUGAUGAUAACAAUGAUGACAA